UGAAGUUGCUGAUGCCAUACUUCCAGGAAAAGCCUCUAAGCUUCAGAUUAUACCGAAUCGUACCCCAAACCGACACAGGUGGUCAGGUAGAGAAUACUAAGGCGCUUGAGAGAACUCGGGUGAAGGAACUAGGCAAAAUCGUACCGUAACUUCGGGAGAAGGUACGCUCCUAUCUGUGAUGAGAUUUACUCUCUAAGCGGACGGGAGCCGCAGUGACCAGGUGGCUGGGACUGUUUAUUAAAAACACAGCACUGUGCAAAAUCGCAAGAUGACGUAUACGGUGUGACACCUGCCCGGUGCCGGAAGGUUAAUUGAUGGGGUUAGUUUUCGGACGAAGCUCUUGAUCGAAGCCCCGGUAAACGGCGGCCGUAACUAUAACGGUCCUAAGGUAGCGAAAUUCCUUGUCGGGUAAGUUCCGACCUGCACGAAUGGUGUAACCAUGGCCACGCUGUCUCCACCCGAGACUCAGUGAAAUUGAAAUCGCAGUGAAGAUGCUGUGUACCCGCGGCUAGACGGAAAGACCCCGUGAACCUUUACUACAGCUUGGCACUGAACAUUGAACCUACAUGUGUAGGAUAGGUGGGAGACUUAGAAGAUGAGACGCUAGUCUUGUUGGAGUCGUCCUUGAAAUACCACCCUUGUAGUUUUGAUGUUCUAACGUUGGCCCCUGAAUCGGGGUUACGGACAGUGCCUGGUGGGUAGUUUGACUGGGGCGGUCUCCUCCCAAAGAGUAACGGAGGAGCACGAAGGUUGGCUAAGUACGGUCGGACAUCGUACGGUUAGUGUAAUGGUAGAAGCCAGCUUAACUGCGAGACAGACACGUCGAGCAGGUACGAAAGUAGGUCAUAGUGAUCCGGUGGUUCUGAAUGGAAGGGCCAUCGCUCAACGGAUAAAAGGUACUCCGGGGAUAACAGGCUGAUACCGCCCAAGAGUUCAUAUCGACGGCGGUGUUUGGCACCUCGAUGUCGGCUCAUCACAUCCUGGGGCUGAAGUCGGUCCCAAGGGUAUGGCUGUUCGCCAUUUAAAGUGGUACGCGAGCUGGGUUUAGAACGUCGUGAGACAGUUCGGUCCCUAUCUGCCGUGGGCGUUUGAGAAUUGAGAGGGGUUGCUCCUAGUACGAGAGGACCGGAGUGAACGAACCGCUGGUGUUCGGGUUGUCAUGCCAAUGGCAUUGCCCGGUAGCUACGUUCGGAACUGAUAAGCGCUGAAAGCAUCUAAGCGCGAAGCAGGCCUCGAGAUGAGUUCUCACUAGACUUUUAAAGUCUCUGAAGGGCCGUUGAAGACUACAACGUUGAUAGGCAAGAUGUGGAAGCAUAGUGAUAUGUUAAGCUAACUUGUACUAAUUACCCGUGAGGCUUAACCAU
rnacentral:rRNA from 1 species